rnacentral:pre_miRNA from 1 species
GUGAAGUUAUGAUAAGAGUAAGGAUUGAGGCGCACCCCAGCGUGGAACCAUCAAAAGUUGUGAUUACAGUUAGAGCAAUGGGUGAUGGUGCCACGCUGUGUGCGUCUUGAAUGCUUAUUCUUUGCGCUAGACAAGC